rnacentral:rRNA from 1 species
UACGUAGGGUGCAAGCGUUAUCCGGAAUUAUUGGGCGUAAAGAGCUCGUAGGCGGUUUGUCGCGUCUGCUGUGAAAACUCGGGGCUUAACCCUGGGCCUGCAGUGGGUACGGGCAGACUAGAGUGCGGUAGGGGAGACUGGAAUUCCUGGUGUAGCGGUGAAAUGCGCAGAUAUCAGGAGGAACACCGGUGGCGAAGGCGGAUCUCUGGGCCGAUACUGACGCUGAGGAGCGAAAGCGUGGGGAGCGAACAGG